rnacentral:rRNA from 1 species
UACGGAGGGUGCAAGCGUUAUCCGGAUUCACUGGGUUUAAAGGGUGCGUAGGUGGGUUUGUAAGUCAGUGGUGAAAUCUCCAGGCUUAACCUGGAAACUGCCAUUGAUACUACAGGUCUUGAAUUUUCUGGAGGUAAGCGGAAUAUGUCAUGUAGCGGUGAAAUGCUUAGAUAUGACAUAGAACACCAAUUGCGAAGGCAGCUGGCUACACAAAUAUUGACACUGAGGCACGAAAGCGUGGGGAUCAAACAGG